rnacentral:rRNA from 1 species
AUGAGUUGGGUAGCACCGUCCAAGAAGCUUCGCACCGCCGCCACCAUGGCACGUCGCCGUCGUAACUGCAAGGCUGAGGACUACCGACAGACCGCACGACAGGGAGAAACGCCGCCCACCAAACACCUUUUGAGGAACCACAGCCACCACACCUCCCGGCAAGGAUCAGACCGCCAAUGGAGGCUAUCACCUACUCCAAGUGACAACCUUGGCGACGACCCAACACCUAGCCAUCCCAUGUCCGCACCACCGAGAGAGCACCGCCGCUCACCACACAACCCAGAGGUGGCCCGGACGCCCGCUGCUCGCCAGGAACUCCAUCCUAGCCGAGCCCUCACAGCGCCGCCAUCAACCUGGACGGUGGUUCACGCCUUCGCUUCCGGUAUGCGCAACCGCCUCCAGUCCGCCUCACCAUAUCGCUGCAGUCCCCACCAAGACCGCCUCAUCUCCAUGCCUCCUGUCUGUGCUCCGCCGACGACCACCACCACACUGAGCCCCCAUCGCAACCGCCAACACCACCACCGUGCCCAACAGCCAUGGAGGCUCGGCGUCACCACGCCUGCCGGCAGCAACGCCCGAGCCCCGGUCGUCCAGAUCCAGAUCCAGAACCAAAAAGGGCGGGACCGGGACGGGACCGAGCCCUCAGGCCGUCGCAACCGCAGGCAGCACCGCCGGACAGGGCGCACACCACCCCCACAGCCACUGCGCCGAGCCGCCGCUGGGCCUUCGCAGCACCACGCCGCCAAACGCCACCGUCGACUGAGCAUCGCGCCAUGGCCAUGGAGUGGGGGGCCGCACCGAGGAGAGGCCCUGCCGCCACCUGCCCUGCCGGGGCUUUGCCCGGCAGCGGCGCACGACAGCGGCGAGGGGGAGGGAAGGGAUGUGGGGUGGCUGCCGGCGGCGAGUCAGGGGUUCCCCCCAUGUCGCCUCGAGGAGGGACGCGGGGGUCGGGAGGGUCCGUGCUUUACCGAGUAG